rnacentral:lncRNA from 1 species
UCCCGCUCCGCCUUCUGGAUAAGGCAGACCCCCAAUCCCCAAUCUCGCAAAUCUCUCGUCGCCUCUGACCUCCCAGUACCGGCCGACCACCGCCCCAUCCCUUCCACAACGCCCCGAGCUCACCUGAGCGCCUCCCCAUCCACGUCGAAGCUCUGACUCAUCCCCGUCCGGGCGGCGCGCCUACCGCAGCCUCCGCAUCUCACUCCUCCAUCCCCACAGAUCUGUUCGGUGCUCCUUUGCAUCACCGACACAGCCUCCUCUGCACCAGAUCUGUCAUCCUCCACUCCGCCGCGUGCUCCGACCCUCCGCACAGCCUCCUCUGCACCAGCCCGUUGCUGGCUUUGGCCAUUACCCCUGCAUCUCCGGCACUGCCCCCAGCCAGCUCUCUCUCCGCACGGCGUCAUCUCCUCAAACUGUAAAUCCGCGCGCAUACAGGUGUCUCCUGCUAAUUGACUAGUACGUACAAUUUAUUUGGGUACCAAUGUUUCCAAAUGUUGCUCUUUCUUUGUAUUUUAUAUACAAAUUGGCUUGGUAAAUUUCUUUUUAAUUCCUUUGUAGUAAGUACCAUCUUGUAAAAAGCAUCAGUAGGAACAUAAUUUCUUUUCACUCUGCAGUAGCAAGUUCUGUCUCUAAACUGUUUUUGUCUAAUGUUGGGACAACUAUUGCAUACAGGAUUAUAUUUAUUUUUCUCUUUAGCUGCUGAUGGAGAACAUCUUCACCGUGCCACAGCCUCCCUUCGAUUGCUACCUCCACCCUGAUGGAGUACCGAAUCCCUUAGAUUGCUACCUCCACCCUGAUGGAGUACUGAAUCAAGAUGAGCCGACAGAAGAAGGUAAAAAUCUGAUUUUUCAGUGUUGUGGUAGCAAUGCUAAGUACUUGACUGAAAAUAAACCU